UGGGACCUAUAAUAAUUUAUCUGGAUUGUUGUAAUCUCUGGACUCGUUUUCGUGCGAGUAUGCUUUGUUUUGAUCCGAGACAAGUGGUUUUAUCGGGUGAAACCCGACGGAAUGCCAUUUUAACUUGAUUCAAGUGUCUACUCGCAUAUGAAGCAACGUUGAGUACACUUUAGCCGGGUUAAUCUAGGUGGUUCCACCACACAAGAUAAUAGAAAUAG
rnacentral:lncRNA from 1 species